CGACAGGUGUUAUAUCUGUGCUACAGUGGAGAAUUCAUGCACGUGCACAUACGCUUGGCCACAUUUUGCAAUACUUGAUAAUCAUUAAUUAUGCAAGUACGAAGAGAGUGGUUGACUGAACAGGACAUAUUUGGUUAUCACACGAACAAAGUGCAUAAUGAAGUACCCUUCCAUACUAAUAUCGUUUCCUACUUGAAAUCAGAGAGUGUAUUUAAAUUUAUGUUUUGAUCAACAGUUACGGCAAAUGAACUUGUGAGACUUCGAAUUUUCAGGUGAAUCGGUUUCGCUUUGCGAACGAUUCGGCCAGAAAGUUCUCAAUUUUAACGUGUGACCUGAUACCGUAUUUUCUCGACCUGUCUUAGAUUUCGAGCACGGACGAAAGCACAGAACAAAACCGCGAAAUCAGAUGUGUGAUUGGCCCUAGUUUCCUUCGCGUAAGGUUCUGCAGUACGUUGAAUUCCCCUUUAAGUAUCUUGCCGCGGUGGGGUCAGUUUCCCUUGUGAUGCCGUGAGAAUCGGAUAACAAAAGCAUGUGGAGAAUAUUACCCCGACUUUUGCAUCCGUUAAUGACUCCUCUUCAGACAGCUUUGUACUUAUGAUAUCAUGUAUAGUGAUUUCUUCAGGAUCUAUUUUACCAGAACAUUGUAGAACAGUACUACUCAACUGGCGGCCCGCGGUCCGAAUCCACAACUUCUGAGUGUUGUAGCGGGACCCCAGGCCCCAAGAGGAGAAAGUAUAAUCAUAUAAAAUGAAGGUCCUGGCGAUGGGUUCUUGAAAGUGUAUUUCCUCGACUGACUGUAUGAUCACGUGGCUCUAAGUCGAGUUAAGAACCAGCAACUCGGCAAGGGCGUAGAUGACGAUUAUCUCAGUUCGUGUCCAGCGAUCGACAUCUGUCCAGCCUUCGACCCUCAGGGCUGGCUGGCCUGACCCACGACCCCGUGCUCAGUGCUAACCUUAAGACAUCGUUUAGUGUGUUCCCUUACUGUGCUGUACUCCUCCGUAAUAAAGAGUCAAGCCGCUA